CGGGGGGGGACGGGGGGGGACGGAGGGGGGCGGGGAUCGCGCAGCGCUCGGCCCUUCGGCGGCCCUUCGGCGGCCCUUCGGACAUCGGAGGAACGGCUUCGGGAUCGCGCAACGCAAACGGGAGCUGCGGAGGGGGUCGGGAACGCCCACAGCUCCGCGGGCUGCAGCCGCUGCUCAGCGGGGUACAGCGCGCCGUUAAUGGGAUCGUCCUGGAAUCCUAAAAUCGCCAGGGUUGGAAAAGCCCUCCGAGGUCAUCCGGCGCAGCCGCCCACCCAUCACCACCGGGCGCACCCCGCAGCUCAGUGGGGUGCAGCCCCCCACCCCCCCCCCACGGCUCGUUGGGGUGCGCCUCACAGCCAACUGGGGUACACCCGCAGCUCAAUGGGGUACACCCGCAGCUCAAUGGGGUACGACCUGUGGCUCUUUGGGUACGCCCCGCAGCUCAAUGGGGUACACCGCAGCUCAAUGGGGUACACCCUGCAGCUCAUGGGGUACACCCGCAGCUCAAUGGGGUACGACCCGUAGUUCAAUGGGGUACACCCGCAGCUCAAUGGGGUACAACCCGCAGCUCAAUGGGGUACACCCUGCAGCUCAUUGGGGUACGCCCCGCAGCUCAUUGGGGUACGCCCCGCAGCUCAAUGGGGUACACCGCAGCUCAUGGGGUACACCCUGCAGCUCAUUGGGGUACACCCCGCAGCUCACUGGGGUACGCCCCGCAGCUAAUAAAAGUACACCCCGCAGCUCAUUGGGGUACACCUUACAGCUAACGGGUACAGCCUGCAGCUCAUUGGGGUACAACGGGGAGCUAACUGGGGUGCAACCCACGGCUAAAUGGGGUACACCCUUACAACUAACCAGGGUACAGCCUGCAGCUCAUUGGGGUACACCCCACUAAUAGAGGUACACCCCGCAGCCCAUUGGGGUACACCUUACAGCCCAUAGGGGUACACCCACAGCCCAUUGGGGUACACCCACAGCCCAUUGGGGUACACCCCAUAGCUAAUAGAGGUUCACUCACAGCCCAUAGGGGUGCACUCACAGCUCACUGGGGUACACCCACAGCUAAUAGGGGUGCACUCACAGCCCAUUGGGGUAUACUCACAGCCAAUAGGGGUACACCCACAGCCCAUUGGGGUCCACUCACAGCUAAUAGGGGAACACCCACAGCCCAUUGGGGUCCACCCACAGCCCAUAGGAGUGCACUCACAGCCCAUAGGGGUCCACCCACAGCCCAUAUGGGCACACGUCACCGCGGAGCAGAGCGUGGCUGUGCCACCCGUGGGACAAACAGAGCCACGUGAGGAGCAAAGGACAAUGAGGGCACAACCGCAGCCCUUCCUCC
ensembl:lncRNA